rnacentral:rRNA from 1 species
UACGAAGGGUGCAAGCGUUACUCGGAAUUACUGGGCGUAAAGCGUGCGUAGGUGGUUUUUUAAGUCCGUUGUGAAAGCCCUGGGCUCAACCUGGGAAUGGCAGUGGAAACUGGAAAGCUAGAGUGCGGUAGAGGGUAGUGGAAUUCCCGGUGUAGCAGUGAAAUGCGUAGAGAUCGGGAGGAACACCUGCGGCGAAGGCGGGUUGCUGGGCUGACACUGACGCUGACAGCGCGAAAGCUAGGGGAGCGAACGGG